GAUGAACGCUGGCGGCGUGCUUAACACAUGCAAGUCGAACGGAAAGGCCGAAGUUUGCUUCGGUUCUCGAGUGGCGAACGGGUGAGAAACACGUGGGUGAUCUGCCCUGUACGGCGGGAUAAGCGUGGGAAACUGGGUCUAAUACCGGCUAUGACGAUCUGUUGGAGGGGGUUGUGGAAAGCUUUUGCGGUAUGGGAUGAGCUCGCGGGCUAUCAGCUUGGUGGUGGGGUAAUGGCCUACCAAGGCGUCGACGGGUAGCCGGCAUGAGAGGGUGUACGGACACACUAGACCUCAGAGACAGGCCAGAGUCCGACAGGAGGCAGCAGUGGCGAAUAUUGGACAAUGGGAGCAAGCCUGAUGCAGCGAGGCCGCGUGGGGGAUGAGGGCCUUAGGGUGGUAAGCUCCUUUCGCAAUCGACGAAGCCUUUUGGUGACGGUAGGUUGAGAAGAAGCACCGGCUAACUACGUG
rnacentral:rRNA from 1 species